rnacentral:rRNA from 1 species
UACGUAGGGUCCGAGCGUUAUCCGGAUUUACUGGGCGUAAAGCGUCUGUAGGUGGUUUGCCAAGUUGAUUGUGAAAUCCUCUCGCUCAACGGGAUGGACUAUUGUCAAAACUGGUAGACUUUGAGGUCGGUAGAGGCACAUGGAAUUUGCGGUGUAGGAGUAAUAUCCGUAGAUAUCGCAAAGAACACCAAUGGCGAAGGCAGUGUGCUGGGCCGUACCUGACACUCAGAGACGAAAGCGUGGGGAGCGAACAGG